ACAAGAAGGUUUCACGGCUUGUGCCUGCUCAUGCGCAAGACUUCAAAUUUAACUGAAAAAGGCUGUUUUGGCGCCAAGCUGCUGUUUCUUUGAGAGAUCCUGCCUUUACCUGCUCCCUCCUAUACUGAUGUGGUGUAUGUGGUAUUGCUGAGCUUGUAUGUGGUGGAAGCAGAAUAUGUGAGGAUUACUACUGCUGCACAUGUUCCAAGGCUUUUUACACAACUUGACCAAUACACUGACCAGCUCAUAAAAGUCUUCAAGAAAAAAGGAGGCGUUGCAGGGAAGAAAAUUAGACAAACUUUGGCCCCAGCCACACAGAAGGAAAGUAUUGAAAAGGGGAGGGAGUGUGUCCUCAGGGCACUACCUUUUUACCUGAAUGAAGACCCAAGCAUCCUCUUCAAAGAAUAAUUGCUACAGCUGUUCAGAGGGAGCUGGAACAAAUUACCCUUGCUAUCUUUACCAUCGAAAGAGCUGAUGCCAGCACUCCUCCAGCCGAUGUGGGUAUAACCAUCUAGUGUGUCCUGCAUGACCUGGAAGACCUGGCCUCUGCAUGUGCACUCUUAAUGGGUGGGAUAUAUGCACUGAAUCUCAGUUAACCUCAAGACUGAAAGCUUUCUUUGAAGUACUUCAGAAGCUCUUCCUUCAUCUGUAUGUCAGCAUACUCUUGACCAAGGUACAGUUGCUCAAGAAUACACUGAAUGAAUAAGCCAACCUUUAAUUUGGAUGAUGAAUGUUCUGUCAGAUGGACAGAAGUUUUUU